CUCCAGGAGUGAGCCCCACCCACACCCCCCAAAAAAGAGGGAGGGUGGGUAGGACCAGAGCAUACCAACCUCCCACUGUGGUGCAAAAAGUAACCUCUAUGUGAAAGAGGGGGGCAGGCUUCUGCUCAGCUUUAUACUCCCCAGGCAUGGAGAGAAGCCAGGCCAGGAGAGACACCAACGGGAAGGCAUUGCUUCUCCACAGGCUAGGAAUUAACCCCCUGCCCCGAGGAAGCAUUAUUUCCACCUGUUGCUUUGAGCACGGAAAAUCUCAGAGUGAAAUGCCUAAGGUUAGGUUGCCCUUUUAUUAAGAUAAAAUACAAGACAUCUAAUUAAGUUUGAAUUUCAGAUAGCAACAAAUAGAUUUUUUGCUUAUGUCUCAAAUAUUGCAUGGGAUGUAUUUAUAGUAAAAAAAUUAUUUAUUGUUUAUCUGAAAUUCAAAUUUACCUAAGCAUUCUGUAUUUUUAUCUGCUGAUUUUGGAGAUAUGGGCACACAAAACUUUUUGAAACACUCAUCCCACAAAAAGUAAGAAAAUAAUUAUUUGAUUUUCAGGGAACCUUAAAUUUAUUGCUGAGACCCUGAGUGAUUUCUUAUACAAUCAUAUGCUCAGUGAAAUAAUAGGAAGGCAGCACAGCAGAUUAUUUUAAAUGGCAGGCUUUGCACUCUGAUGGUCCCAAGUUCAAAUUUCAACUUUCCUGCUCCUUACCUAAGGCAAAUCACAGAUGCCCAAAUUAUAGAGAAAGAAACUGAGGCUUAAAGAAAGUAUUGAUGCCUACUUCAUACUUCCUACAGUUACCGUGAUAAAAUUAGAUAAAAUAUACAGAAAGAAUGCUUAACACAGUACUUGGUAUAGCAUAAAUGCUUUAUACAUUCUGAAUCUUACUAUCAGUAUAAAAUAUGCAGAUGAUUGGAUUAAAAGAAACCCUUAUUUGGGAAUAUUUCUCAGAACGUUAUUUUUAUGGUGCUAUUUUACUUAAUAUUGCUAUAUCUCUGUUUGUCUAUAUCUUUCCAACCAGGAAGAAUAUCGUAUAGUGAGUUAAAUUUGUAAUACUGUCAGAGUCUAAUAGGUUCAGAAUGCCAGUUGAGGCUUUUGGUUUAGGAAAACAGAAAGAAGCUAUUAGUCAUUCCAGAAGGGUCAAAGUAUAUGAUGUAGAAAGGGUGGGAUUGGAGUAAUUAUGUUCCCACUGCAUAGUUUCACAUAAUACCUCUAGUUAGCCUGCGGUCCCAUGGCGAUCCCAGUGCCCCGGCAUUUAGAUUUCCCAUGCUCUUUAUAGCCAGUAAGGAGACCAUAAACCAAAUACAUUCUGGAAAUGUAAUAACUUCGUAGAGACACUCUACUGAAUUGGUUCAGGAGAUUGUAUUUACAUCUAUAGACAGAGAGAACGAGACCAUGGACUCAUAUGACACAUUAUUCAUGGGAAGUUCGAGAUGUGAAUGGAGGGACAUUUUAAAAAUACAUUCAUUGUAUUUGACUUGGAUUUAUAUGAAUGGUUUUUCCUCAAUUUCCCUUCAAAGUUAAGGAAGAAAAAUACUAAGGCAAGCAUGGAGCAGUGGGAGGUGCUUGGCUGAUGACCCUCCAAAGGCUCUCCCAAGCUCCUCGACAGCAAGGUUUGUGCUCUCCCUACCCCUGGGUCCUCAGCUCUGAACACACGCCCCAGUCUCCCACACACUGCACUGCUCAGUGUGAGUUAGGGGAUCAAAGACAUUAAAUGCACACUGAAUAAAAGGAUGAGGAGCACUGGCUGACCAAGAAAGAAGAUUCCUCCUUUCCUUCUCAAACAAGCCCAAACAUCCCCCAGGAUGCAAAGAGUUUGAAAAGAGUAGCACCCACCGGUAACUCUGUGCUAAGGGGUAGGAUUUUCCCACCUUCUGUUUUUUUAACAAUUUCCUGAGUCCACUAUUGCUGAGUUUAUGGCGAAAGCAAUGAUUCUCAGUAGGUGGGGGUGGGCAAAGGAGAGACUGGGUACUUUCAAAAAAGUAUAUUCACUCUUCUAAUAUUUUACAUUUAAGAAAAGAAAGCCUUGAUUUUUAUCAUACACACUCUAGCAAGUAAAAUUAGGCAAAAGUCCUGUUAACCAAUAUGGAUAUGUGAAAGAACUGGAGGGGGUACAGGAAUGGAGACAGGAACAGUCUCCAAGGAGAGGGUAUCAGAAUGUCCUUGGCAGGAAGGACAGUCUUGUCUGUCAAAAAGAAGCAGGCAUUAUAUAAGGUCAAGAACACUAGGUUAGAGUUUGCCACUGUGUGGCUGGGAAGAAGCCCCGCACAGAGACUCAGCAGAGUUGGGGGGGAGGGCCCGCUAGAGGGGCAGAAUGGGAGGUUGGCGGGGGCGACGGUGCUGUGACUGCCUUUUGGGAGAUAAUUGAGAAAUUAAGGGAAAUAAGUGACAAUAUUGAGCAAACUUCUCUCAGAGAGGAAAACGGGAAUUUACCUCCUGGUAACCUGACUGGGCUCUGCUGUUGUUGUUGUUGUUGUUGUUAGCUGCCUUCGGAGAAAAUCAAUGGCCCAUGAACCACAUGUGCAAAGAUACUCCACCCUGGACACACUUAUUUGCUGGCUUUAAAAAAAGCACUAUGAACUAGACUAAUUCUGAGUAACUUUUCCUCUAGACUUUUUUUUUAUUGCUGAUCCAUGAUCCUGUGCUCCAGUGUAGCAGUGCCUUGACACUAAAGGAUUGCAGUAUGUUUAUUAAAAGGCAGCUUAGACCUCUUUCACUAUCUUCAUUCCUUUUCCUUAUCUUGGGCCCUUACUUUGAAAAUGGCCCCGUUGAACCACAUUAAGUCACUGGCCUGGGCCAUCAUUCCAUACUGCUGCUCAACAGCGCGUUUAGGUAAUGUGAAGCCCCACAUGCCGUCAUUAUUUCCUUCACUCAGUAUCAUCAACAAGCAGGUUUGGAGCCCUACCCUGUACAGAGAGCAAUAAGUAGGCACCAGGAGGGACAGAAGGAAGGCAGAGUCACAUCCCUCCCCUCAGGGAGGAGGCAGUCUUAGAACGAAAAAUAUGUACACAGCCACUCUAUAAAGCAGAAUGAAUUAAUAUUCUGUGAGAGUGGCUAGCAGCUACGGGCCAUGGGGGUAAUGUGGAAAAAGAUUACUCUUGAGCCAGAUCAGUAGGACACAAUCACCUAAUACCAAAGAAGUUUCCUGGGAAACAUUAUUUUAGAAGGACUAAAUAUAGCAGUGGCAGUAGUAAUAAUAAUAAUAGCAUGGCUUGUGGCAUGCCCUCAUUGAUUAUUACCACGGGCCACACACUAGUCUAAGCAUUCCCCGUGAGUUAUGUUUUUUUAAAAACCCUCCUAACAACUCAGUGGGACUUGUAUAGUUACUAUCUUAUUUUGUAAACAUGGAAACUGAGGCACAGAGCAUUUGCCCAGGUACGCUACCUGGUAAGUGGCACAGCUAGGAAGGAGUUUAUAAAAGUAAUUCAAUUGUGCAAGAGUAUCUAGGAAAAAGUGGUUAGGUUACUAAAACUAUCUGUCGACAUAAUUUCAGUCAAAGUCUUGGGAAUUUCUUAAAGUUAUAUAAAAUGCCAUUCAAAGACUAUUUGUGCAAUGCUUGCUUGAUGAGUAGUUGCAUAAAAUUUUAGGAUUACCAAAGAAUUGAGAUAACUUACUUUUCCGGACCCGUCUGAUAGCUACUUUUUAAACUACUCAUAUAGGAAAGACAAAAAAUAACACUUCCUGAUUUCUACUAUGUCCCAUGUAACUACAUGUAUUAUCUUUUGUAAUACUCAAUAGUGAAAUUUAUACCCAUUUUAUAGAUGACCAAAUUAAGGUUUGGAGAUGGUUAAGUACCUUGCCCAAGGUUUCCAAAAUCCCAUUCUCUUUUUCCGGCAAAUCACUGGGUCUCCCUGAUAGAUUUUUUUUUAACUCUAGAGUUUUCUUGCAUCCCAUUUUCCUUUUAUAAGUAUAUUCUAGUGUUUUUCCUCUUCAUGAUGCUAUAGUCUACAUUAGAAGCUCCUGAUUUAGAUUAAUAGGGAAAGAAUCCAGAACAGCACCACCUACAGGAAUAUAUGGUCCAUCUCACAGAAUUUUUAUAAAAUUGCUGGAAAAUAAAGAAUUCCCUUUGCUGUAGUUCCAGAGUUCUUGGAUUUAACCGUAACUUUUUUUUAUUGUGGUAAAAUAUACGUAACAUAAAAUUUUCCUUUUAACCAUUUUUAAGUGGCAUUAGGUACAUUCAUAUUGUUAUGCAACCUUCACCACCAUCCAUCUCCAAAACUUUUUCAUCUUCCCAAACUGAAAUUCAAUACCCAUUAAAGAAUAAUUCCCCAUUACCCCCUUCCCUAGAUGCUGGCAACCAUCAUUCCACUUUCUGUUUCUAUGAAUAUUACGAUAAUAGCUACUUCAUGUAGGUGGAACCUACAACAUUUGUUCUUUUGUGCCUGGCUUAUUUCAUUUACCAUAAUGUCUUUAAGGUUCAUCUGUGUUGUAGUAUGUGUUCAAAUUUCAUUACUUUUUAAGGCUGAAUAAUAUUCUAUUGUAUGUAUAUACCACACUUUGCUUACCCAUUUAUCUGUUGAUGGACAUUUGGGUUGCUUCUACCUGCUAGCUUCUGUGAAUAAUGUCGCAGUGUCCAUUGAUAUACACAUACGUGUUUUGAGUUUCUGCUUUCCAUUCUUUGGGGUAUAUACCCAGAAGUGGAAAUGCUAAUUGUAUGGUUCAGGAAUAAAAUUAAAACUUGGAUUCUUAUAGAGGCCAAGCAAAACAUUACUGGGCAGUGAAAGGAAUACACCCUGGGAGUGGUUAAGGCCAAAGUGACAGGAGAAGGGUUGUCUCAUCCAGAGAGACAGCCACCUCUGUGUUGCCAGGUCUUCUGUUUUUGUUUUUGUUUUUGUUUUUGUUUUUGUUUUUUCAAGAGAAAACAGAAUCUGGAUUCUUAGGUAAAAUUGCUGACUCAAUUUUUUUUUACUACCUUGUGGGAUGUACAUCUGAUGGCCCCGUUCAGCCCAAGGGUUGUUUAUUUGCAGUCUCUGCUUAACAACAUUUGAAAUUCACCUUUCAUCAAAGGUACCAUGUGGGCAUCUAGCCAAACAGAUGUGCUAUGAAUUCAGCUCCACUACUUUCUAGCUGUUUGACUUUGAACAAAUUAGUCCAUCCUUCAGAGGCUCAGUUUGUUUGAUUGUCGAAUGAACAGAAAUGUAUUUGCCUUGCAAGAUUGUUGUGAAGUAAUAGAUAUAAGCUACCUCACAAAGUCUGCCUUCAGUUCCCUGUCUCUUCUACCUCCUCUCCCCUUUCCUUCCACUGUUUUUAUCUAUCUGCAAGUUAAGAUUUGUUUUAUCAAUUUAUUUUUAUCUAAAUUUUUACUUCUUUAUCUAAAUUUGAUUACUUCCAACUUUUCCUUACAAAUGUGCUGAUUAUCCAACAUUGGAGAAGGAGACUGUCGUUGAACUUUUGUAAUUAUUGUAUCUCCAAUGAUUCUUUAAACAUAGCCUUUCAUCAACAAUAGGAUGAUCUGAGCAGUAAAGAGAAAUGAAUGAGUUUUUCUAAAGCCCCAAAAAGCUAAACAAAAACCCCAACAUCGUUAUGACAAGGACUUUUUUUUCUUUCACAAUUAAAUUCUCAAAUCUGACCUGUCAUGGUUUUUUGAAAUAUGUAAUGCCAAAAAACACUCCUCUCCUUUUGGGUUUUUCCUUGCUCAAAGUAACCAUAUAAAUAUAAUGGUGGCCAGACAUAAUUUUGAGACAUCUGAUUGAUGAGAAACCAUUAAAAUCAGACUACCAGUACAUUACUGAGUUCCAGAAGUUGGCAUUUCCAAACACUUACUUAUUUGUUUUCUGGAACCAGUAAAUCUGCUGGUUCAUUGAGAUGUAGUGACCACAGAGAAGGAUAUUUAAAUAUCUACUCCAGCAUUUGCCGAAGAGAAGCAUUCUUUUUUCAACUGUUUUCUUUUUUGCUCCUAAUGUGGUAAAGUUAAAUUCUGGGAAAUGGUUUACUAAAGGGAAGCUUAGCCACAGAUGUUUGUAAUUCCAACUUAAGUUUCCCAUCAAAGUCUUAAUGAAAUUCAGCUGCCAGCAGCUGGCUCUGAAUCUGAGUCUUUUUAUCAUGAGAAACUUGGGGAAAACAGCAUUCUGAGGCUGAAUGGUAGUGGGAAAAUGUCCAUAUUCAAGCCCAAAUCCCCUGCAUAAAGAAAAAAAAUACAUAAAGAAAUAAAUUCUGUUUUUAAAAAAGAGGAGAGAGGGGUGGUCAGACAUACUUUAAGGAAUAUGCAAUUUAACCUUUUCACUUCCAGGAGUUUCUUAGUUUGUGUGUUGUGUUUUGGAAGAAGCUAAAGAUCUAGUGUUUACCUAACUGGAGUGGAAUACCUACAUUUAUGGCUCCAUGAGAACUGAUGAGUUGGAGAGAUCCCAUACCACCAACAGCUGCAUGAGCACAAGUCUCUUGCAGACCAGACCAGUAAUCCAUGCUGUAUACUACAGCUAAAAGGACCCUUGCGUGCAGUGUAGACUUCAUGCAUUUGUGUUUAUUUUGAAAUCAUGUCCUCCAUUCGUUGAAGUGGCAUGAUUACACUAAAGGAAACUAGGGAGUCUAGAGAUCAGAGAUGUCUUCACUAAAACUGGCCUCAGAGGUGACUGGUACAUGGAGUGAUGUUGUCUGUUUACACAGUGAAUUGCAACGUGUCCUACUGCACGACAGCUCUGUAAAGCCAAAUGUGGACCCAAAGGAAUGUGUAAUAGAGACACCGGCAGAAGGCAAGAGAAAUGUCUAGUGAGCCUCAUACUGUGGGAUCCUAGGGUUGUGGAACCAUCUAGCAUGACAGCAAGAGCCAGAGCCCACAUUUGGGAUCCCGGGCUUAAAAUUGUGGCUGGACUCUUCUUCCACAGUAGAGUUAUUCCACAAUGCCUUUCAAGCUUCAAGGCCACACAGGCUGUUUCCCCCUUGAGGAACAGUGACACAAUUUGACAAGCUGACAGUGCCCUAAAGGUAACCUCUCUUCCUGCUGAUAUGCCAUGAGUCCCGGGAGCAGCAGAGUGAUUCUGUCAUCUGUGAUUCUGUCAAUUCCCCGGUCACAGAUGAGGUCUACAGGAGAGUCCCAUGGAAUUCAGUGGAGUGGGACAAGCCCUGGAAUGUGAGUCUGGAACCAACUAUUCUCGUUCUUGGCCAUGCCACUGACAACAAGAUCACCUCACCUUUCCCAGUUAAAGGGAUCUGGGCAAAUCCCUUCACCACCUGGGUCCUCAAUUUCUACAGUUUAAAAAGAAUAAAACAAAAUAAGCAAACAAAAACAAGGUUAUUUCUAGCAACAAAGUUCUAUAAUUAUCUCAUAAAUAGGUCAAAAUUUAUGCUCAUUGAAAGGAAGCUGGCUUAAGGAACAGAGUCACUCAGAGUCACAAUUGCUGUCCUAGUUAGAACCCCAAGCCUGAGGAGCCUAGAGCUUGAGGGAAACGCAGGGUCCUGACCUGGAGGCUUUGGUGGGUCUUUUCCCUGCUUCCUAACAACUCCAGGCGUGGGUCUGAGGGUGGCCACAGGACAGAGCACCGGCCCAGCCGCAGUCAUGAGCCUUUCCAAGGUGACAUACCAAGGUCCGAUGAAUGCCAGUGGUCCCCCACACCUAGGUUCCUGCGGACUGCCACCUGCCCUAUCCAGACCCUUCGGGAUGACCCUACACUGAAGCUCUACACAGAGCACAGGAAGGAUGACACUGGAAGACGUGAGGGGCAGGGAGAACUACUGAGGGGAGGCCUAUGUCCUCGCAUCUCAACAGUUCAGGGACACGUGACCUGGUCCAGAGAGGAGAAUGUAUUUUCACUCAGUGCAAAAGGAAGGGAAAGUCGGUGAUGGAUUAUUGAUUCAUUACAAACAUCAGCUGAAGUCACUGCCUUGCCGUGUGCACAGUACAGCUCUCAACAGAGACUUCGUGAGAAGGUAAAGAGGAAGGCUAACUUGAUAACCUACUCUAGACUGUGCAAAAAGUGACCUUUGGAAGCAAAUAAUUUCGAGGACCUUUCUGGAAGUCAGAAUCGUCCCUGUGUGAGGGGCCCUGGCGUGGGAAUGCUCUGAUUGUUGCCGGCUACAGGGAACAGGUGUCUAAUCACCGUGACCCAAAGCUGGGCCCAAGGGAGGAAGCAUGAGCACCACAGAGGCUGGCCUUGGAGAUGCAGACUCGCAGUCGCUCCCCGGAAUCAGAACCCGCAUUCUCACCAGAUCCCCAGCUUGUUCAUAUGCACGGUAGAGUAGGAGAUGUGUGAGCCUCUCAAAGGCAGCUGGGCUUGAAAUUUAAUGGACUUAGAGGAAAUUGGGAAUCCAGAAAAGGGAAGGUUUUUUCAUGUAAUUAUAGGGAGGCCUAAAAUAGAAACCCAGCUCAGGGCUGUGUGAGGCUAGGGAGAGGGCUCACAGGCCCACCCAGGUAGCCCCUGGCCUGAAAUGCUGCGCUGUAGAAUAAAAAACAAGUUCAAAGCAAACGGCUGCUUCAGGGAACGUGGAGAAGCUGAAACCAUGGCCACACGGCCUAGGUGCUCAGGAAGGGGCUUUUAUGAACUGAUAGGGAAGGUUGCCUACUUCCCCCUUCUUCCAGCCACCCCUAUCCUUGAAACAGGACCCCUGGAGACUCUUUGUCCUUGAGGGAAAUGGAGGGGAGGAAGGGGAAGAAUUUACUUGUGGCAUCUGCUUGAGAACAGGGUGUUGCUCAGACUCUUCAGGAAAUAGUGGAAUUGCAAUGUUCCCCUUGCUAAUAAGGGAAGCUUUCUAAUUCAGGAUAAUGUGUCUUCAGGGAGUGAGAAGUGUGGUCUUUGUCCUAGGCUAAAAAGAUGAUGUUCAGAGAUAUAGAAGAGCUAGCUCCACGAAAUGAAAAUUGCCAAGGCUAAUGCUCAAGCUGGCCCUCCGCUACAGGGAUUGAGAUCUGCAGGGAAGCGCUCUUGAGUCAGGCUCUGUGCCUCUCCUGCAUCAGAGGGGGCAUCUGCAUCCUCCUGGCAGACUCCACAUCUCCCUGAUGCCGCCUCAGCCCUGAGGGGGACUGUUUUAUAACAGCUUUGAACCCCUUCAAGACAGCCAGCUGACUGGUUUCAAAGAUCCUUUUAGCUUUAACUCCUAAGCAUUCGAUCAGCAGUUGCUGCGUCCCAGGCAUUGUUUUAGACAUUUUAUGUGUAUAAUGAGUUCAUUUAUUCCUCACAACAUAAUGAGGAAGGCACUACCAUUAGUGUUAUUUUACAGACAAGGAAACCGAGUCACAUAGAAGUUGAGUAACUUAUUCAAGAUCACAGUUUAGAAUCUGACUCCAAGCUCAUCAUCUUUGUCCUAUAACGACCCUUUAACAUCGGAUUCUAAAUCUCAGCGAGCCUGACAGUAGCUCAACUAAGGGUCCCCAGUAUCAUCCAGGAAUGCCAGAGAGGUCUUAGUAGUUGACAAGUCUAUAAAGAAUAUUUAAAUUACUGGUAUGUUUAUAUUUUGGCUUUUUUUUUUUUUUUUAGUUAGAGAGUAAACCGACAUCAUCUCAGUAACAAUGAGAGGUUCUUCUUUGGACAUAACAGGAAUAAAAAUUGACAUAAUUUAUGAAUGUGUAUGUUUUCAUGUUUCUCCAGCUAUGCAAAGCACUAAUCAUUUCAGUGGGAUCCUGAGUUUACCUUGAGGAUCUAUGACUGAAAAGAACUCGAUAGAAGGAUAAGGCAAGAAACCGAAAUGUGGUAAAAGCAGGACUUUGGAGGAAAUGAUUAGACGAAGUAUGUCAAUCAUAGGAAAACCAAGUGAAGGUUUAGAAACAGUUUACCUUUUAAAAUUUUUCUUUAUAAAUGGCAAUAUUAAAAGGGAGUUUAGCAACAGAAAAGAUUCAAGUCAGACCUAAAAGAAACAUAAGCUAUUAACUCCUUUUCUAGUGAACAGCUUGUCUGAAAAAAAGGGAGUUAUUCAUUCAGCACAAAAGGAUUAAGAGCCAAGUGCUGAGAAACACCAUCAAGCCACUGAUGGGUCCAUCUGGAACAGACCCAGGUCUCUGCCCUCGUGGACUAGGAGAAGAGCUGUACUCGUAGUCAGAGGAAGUGCACUGGUACCCUGGGAGAAGGCCACAGUAGUGGCCCCCCAAAUUUUCAUGCUCAAGAACAUCUAUUUCUCCUAUUCCUCUGGCUUCAUGUUUUGAAAUAGGUUGCCUAUCGUAUCAGUUUGCUAGGGCUGCCGUAACAAAAUACCACGGACUGGGAGGCUUACAUAAUAGAAAUUUAUUUUCUCACAGUUCUGGAGGCUAGAAGUCCAAGAUCAAGGGGCCAUCAGGGUCAGUUUAUGGUGAAUCCCCUCUUCCUAGCUCACAAAUGGCCAUCUUCUCUCUGGGUCUUCACCUGCCCUUUAUUCUGUGCGUGUGCAGAGAGGGAGAGAGCUCUCUAGUGUCUCUUCCUCUUGUAUAAAGACACCAGUCUGUCAGGCCUUACCCUUACGACCUUAGUUAACCUCUAUUACCUCCUUAUGGGCCCUACCUCUACACAGAGUCACAUUGGGCGUUAGAGCUUCAACACGGGGCUUGGUGGGAGACAUAACUGAGUCCAUAACACCUACCAAAGGCAGUGUGUUAAGCAAUAACUCAUUUUUAAUGGGACAAAUUAAUUAAUAACUGCAAAAGAGAGCUUCUGAUAAAAUAAGAUAAUCAGUGUUACCACUUUGUACUAUCUUCAGCCCAAAGCAUAAACAAACACAAAAAUUUUACGUUUCAUUUUAGCUGUACAUUUCUUAUGAGUGUGUCACAAUUAAUUUUAAGCAGAUAUUUUGAAAUACGGAAAUAGUAUGCCAGGCUCUAUAUUGCCAUCCUUUAUCCCUUAGGUAUCCAGGGACAUUGGGUCGAUCAGCAUCCAUAUCUUUACUCUCCUAUUUUUUAAAAAGUUCCUGCUUCUUCAGGGAGUGCCACGUAUGCUACAAAGAUGAAUGAAACACAGUCGAAGAGAGGAAACAAGUACACCAGCGGCAUAAUACAGCACAACUGAGGUGUCGUAAAAAGCCUUCGAGGGUAUAAAAGAAGCGUCCCAGGUGACUUCAUGGGAGAGCUGGUAUUUGAGUUCAGUCUUAAAGUUGGGGGAAAUUCAAGGCGAGGGGACAGGAUGAGUAAGGACAAAAGACAUGGGUUUCUUCUAGUAAGACAUAUAGUCUCAGCUGGUGGGACUAGACAACAGGGAGCCAUUGAAGACUUCAGAGUAGAAAAGAAACCCCAUGAGAGUUGUGCUUCCAGAUCAACAUCAACCUGGAAACAGGCUAUUGGAUACUUUGGACAAGAGGCCCCAGAGAGCCUGGAAUCAGAGUCAUCUAGGUCAUGCGUUCGUAAUUAUCCAGGAGAGAGGGAGAAGGGCCUGGAUUGGAAUGGUGGCUGUAGCCUGGAAAGGACAGAACAGAUGCUGGGGUCGUUGCAGAGAUUCUCUCAAGAGGACUUGCUGUGUGUUUGGAGAGCAAGGGUGAGGGAGAAGUCAGAGGUGCUGCUGAUGUUUGUAAAAAUGUAUUACAUCAUUGCAAGAAAAUCUCUUUGGAGACUUUUUGACAUACAAGCUACGAAAUCAGUGACUUUCAAGCUAAGGCUUUACCGAAAUGCCUUGGGUAUAAUUUGGGGUGAGGGUGGCUGAGCAGCAGGAAGUUGGGGCUUUGCUUCCUUCAGCCAGAGCAUCUUCUUUUUUUAUCUGUUUUGUAGAUGAGUUCCACAUGAUAUUUCACUGGGGACAAAAAGAUCUCUACUGUAACACAUUUGAGAAUCAUUUGACUGGGGGCUCCCACGUUGAUGUUCCCAAUCAUGACAGUUCUCCGAAAUGUUACCCCAAAUCUUGUUCCAGUCCCUGCCUCCUAGGCAGUCGUCCGGUGGUGCACACACCUGCCUCGGGGCCAGGCCAGCCUGCUGCUUGCGCAGAGCCCCUGAUGCGCUGAGCUCCUCCCCAGCAGUGCCGAACAGGAGCUCGAAAUCUCUAAACAAUUGGUACUCCUCUGAGAGUUAUUUUUAUGCUUCCUGUUCCUUGUCUGAUGAUAUUUUUGGCCCUUUCCUAGGAAAUAAGGAAAUUCCACUUUGUCUCUGUUAUUACCUGGGGGUACUGAGGACAACAAACAAAGGAGUUUUGGAAAGAGGAUAGGGUGGUAGUGAGUAGACCAGCUAACUGGUAUCUUUUGAUCCUCACAGGAAUGGUCAGAUGUUUGCUUGGUUGCUUUUUUUUUUUUAAUCCAAUUAUUCCAUCUCCAUAAACAUCAUCUUCUUCCAAACUACAGUUUCUAACCUACACUCUGAGCUAAAAAAGAUGGUUCUUACGUAGUCUUACUCUUCCCUCCCUGCACGCAGUAUUGGACCCAUCUCUGGUCCUUUAUCUCCAAAGGCCAAAAUGCUUCCACGUGAAUGUUAUGUUUAUGAAAAGGGAGCAAAUAAAUAUUAAAAACUGUACUUUACUUUCUCACUUGACUAAAAAUAGUGACACCUUAAGAAUUUCACAGUGUCAUGAAGGCAAACUUCAGCUUGUUUUAUUUUAUGACAUAUAUGCAGAACACCGAGGGAGAACUGAUCUUCCAAUGAGUAAGGAAAGCUCUCUAUAGCUCUCAUCCCAUAGCUUGAAAGAGUUCCACUUUUAAAAAGCUAUUAAUAUUAGGGGCACCUGGCUGGCUCAGUCAGAGGAGCAUGAGACUCUUGAUCUUGGGGUCAUGAGUUCAGGUCUCACAUUCGGUAUAGAGAUUACUAAGAAAAAUAAACUUAAAAAAAAAUCUAUUGAUAUUGGACAAAUGUUAUUCACAAGUGCCAAAUAUUGGAAUUUCCAAUGACUACUAACUCAGUUGAAAAACAAUGUUAAUACUUACAAAGCUUCCAUGGUUUACAAGGUAUAUUCCUGCAUAUUUCUAUCUUUAUUCCUUGCAACUGUGUUACAAACCAGGCAGGCCAGGCGUCACUGAUCUAAUUUACGGAAACAUGGAGAUGUCAAAUGAAUUUUCCAAAGUCUCAUAGCAUGUAACGUUAUUGAGACCACAGGAAAUUUUAUACAAUUAUAGACUGUUGAGAUGGGAAGAGCCUAGGAAUCGUUGUGCCACCAAUGUCAUUGAAAGAGAAGGAAACUAGAGCCAAAAGUUGAGUCACUUCCUCAAGGUCCCACAGCAGGUUUCUAGAACUGGGGCCAGAACCAAGCUCCCUGGCUCUUGGAGCAGUCCUCUCGCUCUGUUCCACAGCAUGGAUGCCAUCACCAGGACAAAGAAGAGUGAUGAGGAACACCUGGUGACCUGUGCGCUGGGACACGAAACGUGCUGGAUCAGACUAAAGCAUAUCCGUGUUUACUUUCUUCUUAUGUCUUAUGCUACCACGUAUGCCUCAGUCCUGAGUAAUUUAAGUACGAAAAUAUUAGAAGUUCUCUUAGCCUUUUGAUCAUGAUUCUUAUCCCAGUUUUGAAUUUAAUUUAUAACCCUAUCAUUCAGACCUUUUCUUUCAUGUCAGAGAUUUUUGCAUUGGCCCCAUAUGGCUACUGACCCCUUCAAUUCUGCUGUUAGCACCUGUGCUUAGAAAGAAGGCUUUCAAGUGCAAGAAGAUUUCAGAAUUUCUGGCUAGAGUUUUCUGAUGGUCAUAAAAAAAUAAACAACACAUUCUAGAUCUUAAAAGGAAGAAAGGGAAAAAAAGAUCUAUUUCAAAAAUGAACAAUGACCCUUUUGUUGAAAAACAAUUGAAGAGUUAAUUUUUAAAAAUUCCCAGACCACAUCGUGUCUGCCAUCCCCCCUGCAAUACGAUCGUCAUUCAGGUUUCCACAUGACUUUAAGAAAUUCCCCUGUCAUGAAACAAAACAAUAGUAACAUGAGAAAUUAACGAGGAAAAUGAAAUGUGGGAGGGCACCAAAGUGGUCUACUCAGGCAGUCAUACCCCGAUGGGACCUUCCCAGCCUGCUUUGGAACAGUUCAGAAUUUUAGCCUCUUCACUUCAUUAAUACCUGUUUCUCAAAUAAAAUCUGCCAAUGCCCAGCAGAACUGCAGUUGGUGAAAUCCAGGGACUGUCCCAUGAGUAGUAUCUGCUCCGAUGUGCCCUGACUCUAAUAACCAGUAUUUCAGGGGUUGGGGCAGCACCUGGUGGUCAGCAAAAUAGGAAGGUCUGUGGGAGGCAGGACAGCUCUUAACUGCUGCCCACUCAGUGGUCCAUUUUCCAAAUAGCAGGCACCGUCAUCCCCUGUCCUCUCCCCUGGUAUUUGAUGUGAGGAGGAUCCUCAAUAUGGUGAGAGUAAUACUGUAUUUAAGGAGAUACAAACAUCUUUGUAAGGUUAGAGUAAGAAUCUUUAUGGGGGAAGUAUAAUGUUCUUUGUAGGGUGUUUAAAAUCUCUUGGUUUUAUUAAAGGGCUGGAUUCUUCCUAAUCUCAAAGAGUAUUUGUGAUUAUUUUGGCAGAUGAAGCACAUUUUUCCUGUGUUUUUGGACGUGUAAUAUAUCAAAAUGUUCAGUGGAAAUAAGCAUUUUGGUGGGUUUUUUUUUCUGUAGAACAUCUUUUCAUCUGCUCUUCCAUUUUAAUUAUUUUGAAAACUAACAAGUGUGGGACACUUUUUUUAGUUUUCAGACAUUAUAUCUUCAUCUCAGAUGAUCUAAACUGUGUUUUGAUUUUCCUUUGAUUACAAUCUCUCUCCCUUUUUUUAAAUCUGCUAACAUAAGCUCAUAUUCAACUAGAAAAUUUGCUUUCUCCACAAGUUCAUGAGUCAGCAUAGAUUUCCUUCAAGCAUAGUUCAAAUCGUCUUAAGAAAUUUACAGACUUCAAAAAGAAAAGAAAAAAAAAAACACUGAAAUAGUAGUUGAGGCCUUAAAUGAGGAUAGUUUUCUGCUCCAUUUCAGCUGCUCAGAGACUGGGCUAUUGACAAUAGAGUAUUGAAAAACAAGUGCACCAGGUUCUUGCUUUAAUUCUUGAUAGGUUCUACAUAAAUUAAAUCAAUCUUAUAACUACUCAGAGGGCCAGAAAACCAAGUGUUUCUACCACCAUUCUUCUACUCAUCUCACUUUGGGCAAAUUUCACUAGAUAGAAUGAAAAAGGAUAAAAUAAAAAUAUUCUCUUUUUAUAGUUUAAUGACAUUGUCCCUAUGCAUAAAUUAUAACUUGGAAAUUAUUGUCAAAUCCAAGCUUCCUAAGUUUAAAGCCACAUGAGAGUCACUCUUGGAGUUCUGGUGAGUACUAAGAAUUAUUGAGGCUUUUAGGCGUACUUAACACUUACUUUGGGGAUGCCUCCAACAUUAUCUACAAUGUUUAGAGAGAGAAGUAUCUCUGUGGGAGUAUAGUGUAAGCAAGAAGGUUGCUGAAGAUGCCACUUGAGUUUAAUCGUGAUAUUAAGCUAAUCUUUCCAAAGAAGGUCCCAGAAAGUAGAAAAAUAGUAGGUCCAUCUGGUACCUUCAUUGAGGUAGAUUACCAGGGAUGAAAGAUGUCUGCUUUGAGCAAUAAAACAAUAAAAGGCACAGAAGUUUGAGCCUCUGCAUCUUAUGGGGAAUAAUUAAAAUAUGCGCCAUGCUUUCCAGCCUUUCAGCUUUAGCUUUCCUCCUUCAAAACAAAACAAAACCCAACUCUACACAAUAGUCACCUCCUCUGAAGAACCAUUCUUGAUGUACAUCCCCCCACUCCCAUGUUAAAAGUAAUCUCUCCUUCUUCACGCUCUCAGCAUCUCUCUGUACCUCUCCUCUUACAUUAUGAUUCUUAGUACGUUCUGCCCUACCUUACGGUAAGAUACAUAUGCCCCCAUGAAACCCCUGGAGGCCAGCAGUGUCUGUGAUUCAUCUUCUGAUCCCCAAAUUGCCCAGCCAAGUGCCUUCAGUAUGAAGUGCUUAAAAAAAAAAAAAAGUUUAUGCAUCCCUCAUUUACUCUUAAAAGCCUGCUUUGUGCCACAUCCUAAACUGGGCCCCAGGUGAACAGUGGUACAUGAAACAAAAAGACAGAAUGAAUAAAUGACCGUACCAAAUGCUGAAAGCCAAAACAGUGCUGAGUCUUUUGUUUGUGGCAUGUGUACAUUCUGACAUAAUUCGGUCUAUAAUCCUGAUGGCCAAAUUGGCAUUCAGCUUGACAUCAAUAGUGAACCAUGGUGUCCCUAGGCUAUUCAUUCCAGGAGCUCUGCACUGCGGGGGAGAAUGCCUUUUAAGCUAAAAGCUUUGUCUUUCCCACUGUAUAUGGAAAAAUUGACUAUGCAUUUUCAUAGAGAAGGUCUAGUGAAGAAAUGUUUAUAUUGGAACAAGCCCCAUCUCUAAAUCUGGGCUUGUUGCUGAAUGGUAUUUUGUUUCCUUGGAUCAGGGAAGGGGUCUGGAAACAUCUGUAACUAAAGUAUUGUUUUAAAAUCAGCACAAUUUUUCCCCCUCAAAUGAUAGAUAACAGAAUUACUUUAAAUCAAACAUGCUCAGCCUUCCCCCUCUAUUUCCUCUCAUAAAUGUGUAUUAUUCUGUUGUCAUUGAGCGUGGCUGCACACAGAACAGAUUUGUAGCAUUCAAGGCAUCGCCUGCUCCUUUGCCGUCCUUUUCUUUUCACGGUAGUUCGUAUACUUUACCUUCACUUUUAUAACUGUGCUCAAACAGAGUAGUUAUCAGGAUUACAGUAGUUAUUUGGGGCCAAAUUUUAAACGCUACAGAUAAUAUCAGAUUGUAAAGUGAUUCUGGAACUAUCCUCAAAUUUUUUACUAAAAAGAAAUGUGCAGAUUAUUUGUGUCAUUUAUAAAUGUAAACUUGAAUAAAGUAAAGUUUUAAAUUAGGCAGUGUUUUGCCCAAAUUACAAAAUAAAAUGUUUAGGGGAGGGAAGUUGGGGACAAAAAAAUCAUAGGAAACAAUCCCAAAUAACAUGAAAAGAGUGGAAAUUCUAUACCAAUUUUGAGUAUCAUUCAUGUUCUAAAAAGAAUUGAAGUAGUUUAUGGACAGUUCAUGAUAUUAUAGUUAAAAUUUUGUUAGUAUAGAUUUACCAUUUGUUGGAAAAGUUUUUUGUUUUGUUUUGUUUCUUUUUAAAUUAACUCCCUACAACAUGGAGCUAAAUGUUCAGUAUGUUCUAAAUGUUCCUUUCCCAUGCUUUCUAUAAGCACUUGGUGUUUGAUAUAUUUGUUUAUUUAUGAACUGUUUGAAAAUGGCCCUGUCAUCAAAGUCCCUGAACAGACUUUGAUCUUGCCUUGAAGAUUCAUUCUUCUGAGCCUUUUAGGCGCUUGACACAUAGCAGAGACGUAAAAUGUUUGUUUCAUGAAUUCUACUACUCACAUUUUACAAAUUUACAAAUAAGAACACUUGCGGGUAGAGUCUCAUUGUCCUUUGUCUCCCAAAAUUUGUUUCAUAAAAUAUAUCAAUGGCAUUGUGUAGGUUCAACAAACAAUCCUAGAUUUUGAGCCCAUUCCAAGUCCUCUGUGGGAUUUAGCCUCCUUCAGUGCUGAUGCACAAAGGUGUUGGUCUCAUGGUUCUGUCAAAAUUAUAGUGACAGUAUUUUAUUAGUACAAUUUAUGGGUCAUAGUCUUCCUGUUAGUUGGGGCCAGACGUAUCAACCUGCCAUACAUUCUGCCUAACCAGACAUCUGCUUCUGAUUCAUAAGGAAACACCUGCACACAUGCUGAUGUAUAUUACACAAAGGGGCAUCCUUUCCCAAGGUCCAUUGUCAGAUCCCUCAAAUGGAACAAGAGAGGUGUCAAGGACACAGCUGGAUGUCAUAAGACCAGUUUCUAACAAGGGUUAAAAGAGUUGACUUCUCUAACGAAUAAUCUACACUAUUUGCCUCAUAGUCCAUUUCUAUCUGCACUAUAUAGAAACUGUUAAAAAUUGAAACACCAGCUACAAGGUACUAUAUUUAAAUUAAUAAUAAUUGCCAUAUGCCAAAUCAAGUCAUUACAGAGGGCUGACGGGCAAUGUUUCCUAUCUUGACUGAGCACCACACGCAAAGCAAACCUGAAAAAGGCUUAAAAGCAUCCUCCCCCAUCACCUGCUCCCACUUCUCCAUCCCACCCCACCCCAACCCCUUCACCCGCCCUGCCUGGGGAGUGGUAUUAAGAUGUUUUGAUGACUUUGGCAUUCACCUGUGAAACAAGAAGAUAGUGGAAUAACUUAAAUGAGAUUCUUGACAGAUCUGAUAACCAUGACCAGAGUUGAUUUUUAUCCCAAGAUAUACCUGUGAAAGGCAGAGGAGGACAGUGUGGGCUUUCCUGCAGCCCCCAGAAGGGACGUGAGCCUCCGCAAUACUCCCUGCAAUUCUCAAUAUCAUUUUCUUCAUCAUCGACAAGAAGUGUGUUUUAGCCAAAGGAGCACUGAGGGUUGCAUUAACAUGCUCUAGGCAAACAACUUCUGAUAAGUCCCUUACUUCCCUAGAUCUCAGUUUUCCCACAUUUAAAAUGAGAGGUAAGACAAGGUAAUCACUAAGAUCCUCACCAGCUCUUGAGUCCUGUGAUUCUGUAAUAUCAAGAUACGUUCAGUACAUAUGUAUUAAGCACCUGCUAUGCAAGGCACUGAGGAUACAGUGACAAAUCAGACAAAUCCAGUUUCUGUUCUUGGGGAGUUCAGUCUUCUGGGGAGGAAAGACAGUGAACUGGUAACUUCGAGUGUUGCUGCUGAGCUGCGUGCCAUAAAGAGUGAUGGCCCCCUGCGGGGCUGCCAGUUAAAACAGACCAUCGUCGCACAGACAUGUCUAAAAGGAAAGGAGGAAGCUACUAGCUGUUGAACCCCUCGCAUGCCCUUCUGUUGGACUCUAAAUGCACAAUAUUAGUUAAUCCUCACAGCUACUCUAGGAGCUAAUGUUAUCCAUUUUUCAGAAAGAGAAACUGAGACCUUGCAUUAAAUAGCCUGGGUGGUAGAACUGGAACUGGAAUCCAGAUGAUCUUAUGCUUUCCGCUCCUCCAAGUUGUCUCCCAAGGCCGUGACUAUAGGGAAUUAUGGCUGCUGUAAGGAGUAGAUGGUAGUGUAUCACAUCAGUGCACAUGGGAGGUCAAUCAGCAAGGUCUAGAAGCUAGGGGUACCCUACAUGCAAGCGUAUUUGGAGGAGAAAUUGACGCACUCACUCAACGAAUACUUCCUUAACAGCUGCCAGAUGCAGAGUUAACAAAUGAAUACACGUGUGUGCAUUUCUAAAAAUGACAAAGAGUAGAUUUUCAUCAUAUUCUGACAACGGGGUGUGCAAAAUCUAAAGAAAGAUUACCUAAAGGUACAUAUUUGUAUGUAGAGAGAGAAAGAGAAUUUGUAAGCUGUUGGAAGAAUAAGAAAGAAAUGAGAACACAUUUGGGGGAACUUCCCCCUGCCUAUGAAAUGUUCUUCAUUUCCUCAUUGAACAAUUGAUUCACUGCAAUUAUAUUGAGAAACCUAUCAAAAUCGACUACUUGAAAAGGAUCCUACCUUUGAAUACAUCUUAUCUAUUUGGAUUUCCUGGAAAUGUGCUCCAGUGACUGAACAGGGGGGAAAUGUCACUUUUCCCAGAUUGUUAUAAAUUGUGAUAGAAGGGGUCUGAAUAUGUGAAGUGCAGUCUAUCUUUAGAUAGUGCAGUUUCAAUCCCCAGGUGGAUAGAAUGCAAUUUGUUAGCUCUUUUCAGUCUGUUACUAGCUAUUGCAAAACUAGUAUCUUGUAAGAGGCAUUUGCAUCCAUGCUUUUUCUUGACGAUGGCCCCUACUGGGACUACUUAAAAAUCUGUUGUCACUACCACAUUAAUGUUUAGAAUAAUUAUAGCUAAAACGACCUUUCCCCUUCAACAAAGAAUAGUUGUCUCCUAACAGCUGAUUCAAUUUUUAUGAAAUGGAAAGUGGAGCUCAGGAUGUUGGAGGAGAUAAUCAGUGUUAUCAUAGUUUUGCCUGUUCUCAGAGGCGAUGGCCGAGGAAGGCUGAGGAACAGUGCUAUCUAGGAAGGAGACACACGGCUCCCCACCAACAAAGACAGUGAGGAGGGGGCCAUGAGGCAGGUGUGAUUAAAAACAACUGGAUAUAAAUAAUCUUAAACUUCUGGCCUAAUUUUAGCUAAGUUCACACAGUCAUGGUAAUUUCCAGUAUCACAUUUAAUAAUUUUCUAACAAAAGCUGAGUUUCCUUCUGUUUCAGGGUUUUAAAACCAUCCUAAUUGGUCAAUUAACAUUUUUUUAAUGAGCCUUUAAAUAUUUGGUAAAAACAACUUGGAUAUUUGAAAGAGGCCUUGGCCUAGGACUGGCUGAAAAAGAAAGUCAACCAGGUAUCAUUUCACACAUGUGCUGGACCAUUAAAUGGUCCCCAGAUAAAGAGCUGGUAGGUCAAUUAUUUCCUACCAUUGCCAUACUCCUGGGGGUGAUGGUGGGCUGGUUACUCCGCACCUGCUCUCCUCCACUCCCCUCCAGAUCCUAGCUUGGCCCUUGCCUGCCUGCCUCACUCUGCCUGCAGAGGCCAAGCCUUGCUGAGCCUUGCAGACUGCACUACUCAUGCUCCCUCGCUGAACUAGAAAACAGAAGAAGGGACAGGUGGGGUAGUUCUGCCAUGUUCCCUCUCUGCCUUAGGCACUGCUUCCCGGGCAGAAGCUGCGGCCCCCGCAAGACAUUGGUUUUCAUGGUGGCCUAGCCAUAGCUCUGGCCCCCACCUGGGUUAGUGUAACAACUCUUUUUGACUCCUUGGGCCCUAGAGGUAAUAGAUUUGUGUUCCCAUUGCUUCUCCAUUCCUUGUGCCUUAACUUCCCCACACUUCACUUGAACCCCUAAGGUGAAUUCUGUUUCCUGUUGGGCCCCUGACUGACUGACUGUAUCAAUGGACAAGCUCUCUUUUGAAAUUCAUGGCUUUUUCUAUUUCCUUUCUGGUGGGGGAACACUUUCCAAAAGCAUCUGCUGCAAUUAGCUGUUUUAAUUCACAAACUAUUUGACUUUCAUGUAAGGGAAUAAUAAAGAAGAGAUUAUACCAAACAAAUUUAGCAAACUCUGAGAGCAUGAUCUUAAAUUUCACAAUUCCACUUCAUUUGGUUUGAAUCAUUGCUCAAUCUUUCCCUAUUCCCCUUUUCAACUCCAACCCAGCUGGAGGAGCCAACCUUUAGCCUCAGCUUGUGGGUCACUCUGUCAUGUUCUGCCAAUCUAAAGCCAGAGGUGGGUGGGACUCCCACUUAUUAGCUGUCUUGGUCCCUGAGGAGACAGGGUUCUCUGGAUUUGGACCCCAGCUCCCCUUUUAGAAUAGAAAACUAGCCUAUAAAUUCUCUUACUUGAAUUUUAAAAUUUAGUUUCUCAGUCAUUGGAAAAUGGGAGUAUUGUGCACCAUUCCGAGAAUUUACCUCUGCCUGAAAUUAGUACAUCCCAACUAGAAUAAAUAAGCCCUCGAAAAGUACUCCAGAUUGCACAGGUAGCACAGGACAUGUAACUACUGGAAUAAAUUAGUGGAAAUCAAAUUAAGUAGUCUUUUAAAUAUUUUUAGAAAAACCUAAAAGCUGAUAUAUGCUUUAACUAAGAGAGACUUAUAGACAUGGGAAGGGCUUUCCCAUGGGAUGAUGUAGCUGCUAGCUGUAAGAUGAAAAACAAAGGAAGAACAAAUUAGGAAAGGAAUGUUCUUGUGCUUAUUUUUUUAACUCUGUAUAAUGAUCACGGUACAUAGUGAAUAACAAGGAAGUUAGGGAAAUUAUACACAAGCGUCUGAAUCUAUUGUCAAGACCACAUUAGUCACUUCCCAGAGAUGAUGUUUUAGAGACCUCACCAGGUCUAGACAUGGAAAUCCAAUAUCCAGCCAACCUAAGUGGGAUCUUUUGUUUUUCUUUCAUUUUUUUUUCUUUCAUGAGCAUUUGUGUGCCCUCCAUAGAGCUUAAGAAAUAAAAUAUUGCCUAUAUAUAUCUCCUUCCUCAAUCCCAUUCCCCUCUUUUACCCUUAAACAGCCUGAUUUCUUAGAUUCCCAUUCGUAUCUUAUACUUUUCUUUAUAUGUGGGUGUCCCUACAUAAUGUACAGUAUAAUAUUAUUUUGCAUGUUUCUAAAUGCCGUAUAAAUGUAGUGUUUCUGUUUUGCAGCUGGCUUUUUACCCUCAAUAUUGUAUUUAAAAGAUGCAUUCAUGAUUGAAGAUCUUCACUUGUGAGAUUUGUCCAAAUGCCCUCCAAAAUUUCUACACCAUAUGCCCUCAUUUGGUUCAUUCUUUACAGAUUCAAAUCUACUUUUUUCAACUAACAUAUUUUCAAAAUCUACUUGCUAUUUGCUAAUGACUCUGAUAGGUGAUGAAGAUCCAAAGAUGAACAAGUCACUAUUCCUGUUCUCAAAGAGCUCACAGUGAUUUCAGAGAGGCAGGAGUGCAAAUUAAAAACUGUAAGAGCAUGUUCCAUGUGCUCUAAUGAGAUAUGUGCAGAGUGGCAUGGGAACACAGAGGAAAAGCAACUGGGUCUGAGACAAAGGAAAGCAUUCAUAAGUGAUGGAAGGGAGAAAGACACCGCAAGCCUCUUGUGGCAAAGUCAAGGUAGUCAAAAGAAUAUUUGGGGGAAGGAAGGAAAUCCAUGGUUUAAGUAGAGCAGAGGGAACAGAGUUUAGGUUGACUCUAAAGGACGGGUUGGGGUUGGAGUAUGAAAAAGGAGCCUUGUACAUCAUGCUAAAGAAUUUUAUGUACUCAUGUGGGCAAUGAAUGAAGAGCCACUGGGAGUUUUGAAGUAAACAAGUCAUAUUGUAAGUUUUCUUAAAUUUAAUUCUGGUAAUAAAGAAUGAACUGGAAGGGAGAAGUUCUGGUGACCCAGAGAGUAGGGUGGAGAUAAUUAUAAUAAUCCAGAAGAGAAAUGCCAAAAUCCUGAACUAAAUAGUGGUAGUGGGAACAAGGGGGAAGAUUCAUCUUGGUUAGCAUCUCAGAGGUAGAGUAUAAACUCUAUGAGGUCCAGCGUACAGAGGGUGGCUGGACAGGGGAAAAGUCUAACCCAGGUGGAGGGAAUGAGAGGCACUUUGUGUAGAGAGAAUUUUAAAACAAUAAUAAAACUUGCUGAACCACAGUCUGCUUUUUAAUAUCCUCAUGUGCCAGCGUUUCUAAACAAUGUCAAUGAGAAAAUUCUCCUCCCUUAAAAAAUCUUUUGUUGUCUAAGUUCUACACAGUUGCUGCGGUUACUGUUGAGUUUAAAUAAUAUAACAAAUAUGUCAGCUUCAAAUUAGCACAUUCCAAUUACUUAACCUUUAAUAAACAUUGCAUUCUACACAGAAAUUAAUUCGGGGAACUUCCAGUCCUACAGCCCCCCUAGAACAGAUGGAGGUAUUAGUUUAGAGAGUAAGUUUAUAACAGUUCAGAAUUGUGUAAGGCCCUUUCUGACUUGAGACUCUAAGCUCUGUGGCACUCCAUCCGUCUCCAUUUAAGCCAUGGAUUUGAGAUAAACAAUGAUAGCACAGGGAUUGUGAAAAGGAAGAGACAGAACUUGGGUACUUAAAUGUUAUUCUGUGUGCAAACCAUUUUCUGAUUUUUGCCGACUUCAUUCUUGUGGAAGCAUUUCCAAAACUUACAUUACUGCCAAAUGACAUCACAAAGUGUGUCGACAGAAAAGAGCUAUAAGGAGGUGAUCCUGGAGAACAUCAACAGUGUGGAGGCAGCAGAUGAAGAUGAACAGCCCUCCCCUCCUGCCACUCCCCCAAACCCCCCAAGAUACUGAGAAAGAUAAGCAGGAGAAAAACCUGAAGGCAGAGUUGUCCUGGAAACCAAGAGAAGAGAGAAUUUCAAGGAGGGAAUUUCAACCAUGUUAAGUACUAGAAUGAGAACAAGACUGGAAAAGCAAAGCCACAAAGACAUCACCCAACAGCUUUAUCAGCUCUGCGCUGGGUCCUCUGGCAGCACUUCAGUGACACAAUGGAGACAGAAGCCAGGCAGUGGAUAGAGGCAUGGGUUGGCAUGAAGAAAGCAGAGCUAGUGUGAUUGAAUUCUCUCACUCGUGAAGUUUGGCUAAGCAAAAGAGGAGAAUGAAAAGGAGGUAGAGCUGAGGGAAGGUGUUCUUAGAAUCUGAGCCCCAAGGAAGAAGUCACAGCUCAUCCAACACAGGACCCAGGACCUAAUUAUGCUCUGCCUCUCCUCACCCUGUGGAUGCAAAUUGCUGGAUGGUGUGUGAGAGAAGGAGGCCAGGUGAUGGCACAGGGUCAGGUGUAUGGGUCCCAGAGCACCGAGAGAGGGCUAAUCUCUUCUAAUAUGAGGAGUGCUAUCUCCUCUGAGAUGAGCAGAGGAAAUUAGAAUGAGUCAAGAUUAAGAUGAGGGGCGUCUGGGUGGCUCAGUUGGUUAAGCAUCUGCCUUCGGCUCAGGUCAUGAUCCCAGGGUCCUAGAAUGAGCCCUGCAUCAAGCUCCCUGCUCAGCAGGGAGUCUGCUUCUCCCUCUGCCUCUCCCCACCAUGUGCUCUCUCUUUCAAAUAAAUAAAUAAAAUCUUAAAAAAAAAGAUUAAGAUGAAUUUUGAGGAGAAGAACAAUAGUAUGAGAUUUUUCCACCCAAUGACCUCCAUUUUCUCAUUAAAAGAGGAGACAAGAUUAUCUACUGAGAAUAAAUGGGUACAGUAGAGGUUUGGGGAUGUAUUUCUCCUUUCCUACUAAUUCACAGUAGCAUUUCUGCAGUGAUGCAUAAACCCAUGAGGAAGAGCAUAGGGAGAGAAAAACAGGACUGCCAAUCCCUUUGUGCUUUUCGUCUUGAGCCAUCCAGGGUAAGGGUAGCACUGAAGAACUGGGAGGACUUCACGACAGAAAAGGCACAUUUAUUAGCAAAGGAAACUGAUGGAACAUCCCGACCAGUCAUCCUGCCCAAGGAAGCACUACCACCUUCCCUGGGCUCACUGAAAGGAAGCCACUGUAAGUUUAUAGACAAUUAAGCCUCCCGAAUCCUUGUGAAAAGAAAAGGCAAUUUAGUCAGACAUUUGCAAGACCGUGGGGCCAUUAAAGGGUGAUGACCAAAUUGGAAUGCCUAUAAAAAGCACUUAACUCCGUGCCUGGUGUCCGUCAAUAAAUAUUAGCUGUUAUUAUUCAUAAAAACCCAGUGGAAGAUGACAGAAAUGUCUGUCAUCUCACAACACUGAUUCCUGCCAAGUGGUGAAGGAGUCAUGUAAAAAUCCCCCAAAUGCCUAUAACUCUGAAGUCAUUCCUCUCUGCUUGUUCUUCUAGCCCUUCUACACCACAUCUCUUCCUUUCUUGGAAAUGUGUCCAUGGCAUUUGCCCCAGUAAAUUAAACUGAGUCAGUUCUGAGAUAUUAAAAAAAAAAAAAAAAAAAUCUGGCCAAGGCUAUGUUGUGUAACCGUGGCUUGGAAGGUGGGGAGUGAAAAGAACAAGUUACAUGAGAUGAUGUGACGAGGACCCAGAGCAGAAAAGCCAGAUGUUAGCAGAUUUGUUCAAGAAAAUCAAAGGCAAAAAGGCACCGCUAAUGCCCCAUUAUGUUAUAUAAGCGCACUCGCUACUACAAAUGAGCAACUUACAAAGUAUUUAAAGUAACUUUUCAAGGAGACAAUUAAAGAAAUUUUCAUCAGUAUUAAUGAACAUAAUCAUGCCCAAAUCCAACACUUCAAAAAGAAAAUCUUUAUGGCUUUAGGGCUCUAAACUUUCUCGUUUGAUCCUUUUAGUUACACAACUAAAGAGAGCCAAGGGUGAGAAGUACUUCAUUACAGCCCGAGUCUGUUAGUAUGUCCAGUCCGAAUAACAUUUGAUGGAGUACAGGGUGUGUGAAUAGUUAUUUGAGAUCUUUGGGUUGGAGCACUGAUUUCCCUGCCCAGGGGAAUACUCAAGAAGCCCAUAAAAAGUGCUGAGGAAUAGCCACGCUGAUGCAACAUAAAUAGCGUGAUAAAUACAUCUCCACUUUACAGAAUUAAAGGACCUGCCUUAACUCUGGUCAAGACAGCUCUGUGCUUCUCAGAAUUCCUCGGAACCUAAAUCCUUGUCUCUGUUUCACUGGUGAUUAUAUUGAGAGCUGGAGUGUUUGGCAUGCUGGCCAAGGCAUGGCAGACACGGGUCCUAAGCAAUAAGCACAACCAUAGCUCCAAGAGCCAACUAGGAGAAACUAGCACCCCAGUUUGUGUUUAGUGAUGCCCUAGCUUUCUUAUGCCAACUAUAAGAAGAAAUACCUUCAACUGGGUAAACCUCUGAAGAAUUUUGAAACUACUUUCCUAAUCAAGCUAUGGUGAAAUCACUGUCAAAAUCUAAAAAUUAACUUCACCUAUUGAAAUGUAGGGAAUUUCAGUUAUGCAAACAAGAGCUUAAAGAGACCCAAGGGUGGAUCCAUGGGGUAAUUCUGUCCACAUUCAAGUAAAAUCAAUCAAGCAGUCAACUUCUUGCUAACUGUUACACAUUGCAUAGUGCCUUUAACUUAUUUUGGCACUUUGACGUAGCUUCGUAUAUGAACAAACAGGAUGUGUUAAGCCCUCCCUGAAAAAAUAGAGUCAAAUGUUACCAAUAGCCUAAUUCAGGACUGCUUUCCACCCCAGAUACUUUAUCUUUUAUUUUUAUAGACACAGAAAAAAAUAGCCUGUGAGAUGUCUACCCAUGUCAUAAAUUCAUAUGUUCUCAUAAGUCACUCCUCCCCAUCAAAGGCUGCAUUGAUAUUUUUAAAUACAUUAAAUUGAACCGUUGGUCCCUAUUAAAAGCCUCUGAAUACUGAUUCUUAGGUCUGCCCAAGUUUUAAGCAGAUGGAAGUCAGCAUUGUGCAAGACCCACAGACUCAGUGUAAAGGCACAAAGGUUUAGCUUUUAAGUGAGCAUAAUAUUCAAUCUUAAGGUGACUUUUAUUAUUCACUUUAAAAAAUGAAAUUCUCUAAAACUAAAACUAGAGCUAAAAUCAUUGUUGCCUGGAAACAAGGAGAAAAGUAGAUUGAUUAUAUACAUACAAAAACCUAAGCAGAAAGAGAAUUGGAUGUGGGCUGUUAAAUGUGAAGAAUACUAAUUUGGGAGGUAGCAAUGACUUUGGACACAAGUGAAUGAAUUCAGAGAGAUUUUGGUUUGGGUUUUUUUUUUUAUACUUUCUACAUUGAGCCUCAGUAAAUUAAAGCAAAAGUUGAUGAAUCAAAAUUCUAGAAGUCUAAUUCAGAAAGCAAGAUGAGUCGAUAUUUGUAAAAUGUUUGCAAAUCCUUGGUUGAAGACACAAAGCAAAUUUCUACAGUGAUCCCCCCGUCCUUGUGCAGUAUUUUGCUUUCCGUGGUUUCAGCUACUUGAAGUCAACCUCCAUCCAGAAGCAGAUGAUCCUCCUUCUGAUGUAUUGUCAGGUCCCAAUGCCUAUGUCCCAAUGCCUACAUCAUUCACCUCACUGCAUCUCAUCAAGCAGGCAUUUUUUUUCAUCUCACAUCAUCCAAAAGAAAACAGGUGAAUGCAGUACAAUAAAAUAUUUUGAGAGAGAGAGAUCACAUUCACAUAACUUUUAUUACAGUAUGUUGUUAUAAUUGUUCUAUUUUAUUAUUAUUGUGGUUAAUCUCUUACUGUGCUUAAUUUAUAAAUUAAACUUUAUCAUGGGUAUGUAUGUAUAGGAAACAUACGUAUAGGAUUCAGUACUAUCUGCAAUUUCAGGCAUCCACUGGAAGUCUUGGAAUGUAUCAUCCACAGAUAAGGGGGGGGACUACUAUAUUAUAGGUUAGAUGUUAUUGGAAUAGGCACAGGGCUGUAGAGUAUGCUCUUUGUAAUGGAAUUUUAUUAUAAUUAAUUCAUGGUCAUUUGUUGGAGCUGGAGAUUAGGGUCUGAUUCUCUCCGAGAGAGAUCUCAGGAUGCGUCUCACAUGACAACUUCAGACUCCUCCUAAAUUUGAUCCAUUUUUACCGUUGUUUGUUUUAAUGGGUGGUUGGGGACCUCAGAUUCCUAGAGAAUGCUAUUUGAGCAUUUAAAUUAUUUAGUCUAUCAGGCUUUUCAACAGAAAUUCUGAAGGUUCUAGAGAUUCAAUAUCUAUGCAACAGUAGUGACUUUGGGCCAAUUAAUUAGCUCCUCUGUGACAAUAUUUGGAAAACCCAGUGAGAUUUUUGUGAACAUUUUUAACCUAAAAUGGUAUUACUUAGCUUGAGUUUACCACACUCAAGGGAUGCAGACUGGACUAUACCUCAAAAAAGCGUGACUUCAGAAUCUUAAGAAAAUUCAAAAAAUGUUCUGUAUGAUGAUGACAAUAUUAUUAGUUUCAGCCACUGUUCUCAAAGGACUUCUUCAUAUGAGGACAAAAACUAUCAAACAGCUGUAUAAAUGCUAUCCUCUUUGUUAAGAAACAGUCUCACUUUGUUAUCUUAUGAAAUAAUUAGUAUAAUAAUUAAUAUUGUGAUUAUAUGACCCCUGGAAAUAAUGCCUUCUGCAAUAAUAUCGACAUAUGCUGUCACUCCCAGUUCCUUUAAAUAUAAGUGGCAUAUGGGUAUACCGUACCAAUUUCUUCCUAAAGUUCCAUCUAAUUUUAAUUUCUAUAAAUGUAAAAUUAGCCAAGUACACACACUGAUUUUUACUCAGAGCCAGACACCAUACUGAUGAUAACAAAGUAAGCAAAUGACAAUCUCCACUUUUAGUCUUUGAAGGCAGAAGUAAAUGUUAUUGAUUAAUCCAAUCAGUGUUCAAGCAAGAGACAAGCUGUAAUAAUAUAGUAGCUAAUGAGGAGAGCUGUAAAAAGUCUACAGAUGAUUUAGUGGAAAGUAAUUAGUCAAAAUGAUAACUGGGCCGAAAUAAAUUGUUUAAAGAGUAGAUAGUCCCAUUCAAUGAUUUUCAUAUAUUAAUAACUUUAUAUAUUUUAAGCAUGUAUCCAUUUUUUAAGACUUUUUUUCUGGAGUUUAAAGGAAAGAUUUUACAUUUUUAUCCAUUUCAGCCUGCUUUGGACUGUUUGUAGCAGCAAAAAUUUAGAAAUAACCUAAAUGUCCAACAAAAGGGAUUGGGUUAAUAUAUAUUAACAGUACACCAGAUGGUUAAGAGCUCAAACCCAGGAGUCAAACAAAGAAUCUAAAUCCUAGGUCCACCAUUUCUCAUCUGUGUUACUUGGUCUGCAUAACAAACCCUAUAAGCUACAAAGACUCAUCUAUAAAUUGUAGGUGACAGCUAUUACCUUCAUAGGGCUAUUGUGGGCAAAAAUGAGAGAGGUAUACAACAUGACCAAUGCAAUGACUUAAACAGGGUAAAUAUUUAUGUUCAAUUAAUUAAAGGGUCAAUUAAAUAAAUUUGUAUCCUUCCUUUCUUUCUUUUCUUCCUUCCUUCCUUUCUUCUUCCUUCCUUCCUCUUUUUUGUUUUUAUGAGAAAUAGCAUGUUAUACUAGAGAAAGAACAAAAUUUAGAUCUGUCUGAACUCCUUAUAAAGCUGUGUGACACUGGAUACAUUUUUCAUCUUCUCUGACCAGCAGUUUGUUCAUUUCCAAAAUGCAGAUACUUAUACCUAAUGCACAGAGUUGUUACAAAGAGCAAAAACCAUAAUGUGGAUGAAGCACUUACAACGCUUGGUACAUAGGCCCUGUAUUAUUAUUAUUAUUAUUAUUAUUAUUAUAAGGCCUAGGCACCAUCCCAGGCAGUAUAAACCCUCUGAAUGCUCUCCCAUGUUCAGCUACCCAUGUGUUUAUACAGUUGUAUGCUAUAGGUCAGGUCUUCUCACAUGGGCAAAAGUGUUCAAUGUCAUCUAAAAAUUGAUUAUAACACCUCUCUUGCUCACACACACACAUAUAUAAACAUAAACACCAUCUUCGUUUAAUAAAUUGUGGAGAAUAUUCCAAAAGAAACCAGGCGGACAUUAAUUUUCUCUGUGGGAAGACCACUCAGCUUUCAAAGUCUCUAAAUAACACAGGUCUUAGAAUCACUAAGCCAAGAGAUUGCUAACCAGGAACAAAACUAAAAGUAACUCUGCUUUCAUUCCUGAAAUUAUCUGCCUUUUAAUAUUAUAACAAAGGUCAGUUUGGCCAGUUCCUAUAGAAUUUCAAGAAGAGAUUUAGGGAAAAUUAACAAAACGUUCUGGAGCCAUGACAAAACAUUUCUACGUAAGAGGAACAACAUGAUAUAGCUCUUCCUUGAGGAUACUCAAACUUCUCUUGAACCACUUAAUUAUUUGCCAUUCUGAGAAAUCCUCUAAGGUCCUGCAACACAAAGGGUCCAAGAUAUCCAGUGCAUGUAGUAGUCGUAUCAGAAGCACCCAUGCCCAAGGCUUCCAUUAACCUGAAUGGUGCCUUUACACAAAUUUAAAAAUGGCGGCUCCCCUCUGGACAGAUGAAUUAGAAAAUAUAAUCUUUCAGGUGUACAACGCCCAAAAGGAAAGAAGUUGGCCAGGUUUCCGCCCCACCUCAUCCUCUCCACAGAGUGCUCCACGUGACCCUGUCCCUGGCUCCCUUUUUCUUCCCAUCUCCCACAGUUUAAGAGACGAGCCAAAUCCAUUUCACACAAGGUCAGAGCCUUAGCCUGGGGAAUGGGUAAGUGGAUAAUGACAGACUCUCUGGGUGAAGUCACCUCCUAAACUUGGCAUAACAUAAAGAUUUCAUUGAGCACAGUCCAGUCUAGGCAGUGGCUGCCUGGCCUGUGUUGAAAAAGAUUGGAGACCAAAUCCAGCCCUAGCAGGGAGCAGUAGGUAUAUUAGCAGCAUAAACCAUUGGUUUCCAACAGCACAUAGGCUUCAGAUUUCCUAUCCUAGUCCAAACUGUUGAAAUCACAAGCAUUUGUGGAGCAAUUAAUAUGAACACGGCACUGUGAGAUGCUUUAGGGCAAUUCUUAAUCACACAUUGAAAUCUUCAGGGGACUUUUAAAAAAAUAAAUAAAAAACAAAAACAGAUCCUUGUAAUUUUUCUGUACAUCUAAAGCUAUUUUAAAAUUCAGAAUUUAUCAAAAAAAAAUUUUUUGCUAUGGUUAUUUGGGAUUUUUUUCUGUGUUGUGUGAUUUUAUUUUUGUUCUUUGAAUAUGAAUCUCUUGAUUUAGCUAAGCCCUCAAGGACAUAAGGGAUUAACUGCUGUCAUAUUCAAAAUGAUGCAUUUUUCAGGGCAAAUCUUAAUUUUCUUUGUCUUCUUUAGAUGAAAGAGCAGCAAAAAUGCCCAAAAGACUUGAACUAAUAUCAGUUUAGAGCACCCUUACUGAAACUUGAUACGUUGGGCCAGAGGCAGGUCCUUACUAUAGUUGAUGAUACAAGUAGAUCUUCUCACGUUCUGUUUCCAGGCAUCACUACCAGAC